rnacentral:rRNA from 1 species
GACGAACGCUGGCGGCGUGCUUAACACAUGCAAGUCGUACGGUAAGGCCCUUUCGGGGGUACACGAGUGGCGAACGGGUGAGUAACACGUGAGUAACCUGCCCACAACUUUGGGAUAACGCUAGGAAACUGGUGCUAAUACUGGAUAUGUGCUCCUGCUGCAUGGUGGGGGUUGGAAAGCUCCGGCGGUUGUGGAUGGACUCGCGGCCUAUCAGCUUGUUGGUGGGGUAGUGGCCUACCAAGGCGGCGACGGGUAGCCGGCCUGAGAGGGUGACCGGCCACAUUGGGACUGAGAUACGGCCCAGACUCCUACGGGAGGCAGCAGUGGGGAAUAUUGCACAAUGGGCGCAAGCCUGAUGCAGCAACGCCGCGUGCGGGAUGACGGCCUUCGGGUUGUAAACCGCUUUCAGCAGGGACGAAGCUUUUUGUGACGGUACCUGCAGAAGGAGCACCGGCUAACUACGU